rnacentral:pre_miRNA from 1 species
CAUAAAUGGGGGCUCCUUCGAGGACAAAGAAAGCAUUCGGACGUCUUUUCGCACAUUGAAGUAGUCAUCCUUUGGACUGAAGGGAGCCCCUAAUUCUU